CGAAGGUGCUCCUUGGUACGGGAUGGGUCAGGCCCUCAGCAAGCCCAAUCCUCCCAGCUCAGGAGCACUUUCCUAUUUCCAACACCCCAACAGACGAUCACCCACACGAAAGCCCUGGGUUAG
rnacentral:sRNA from 1 species